ACAUCUCCCUCUCCUCUCCUGAGUCUCUCUCCUCACUGCACCUGAGUCCUCUACUACUGACAACAUGGGCUGUGGCUGUGGUGGUGGCUGUGGCUGUGGCAGCUGUGGCUGCGGCUGUGGAGGUUGUGGCUGCGGAGGUUGUGGCUGCGGUGGCUGUGGCUGCGGUGGCUGUGGCUGCGGUGGCUGUGGCUGCGGAGGUUGUGGCUGCGGAGGCUGUGGCUGCGGUGGCUGUGGCUGCGGUGGCUGUGGCUGCUGUGGUGGCUGCUGCGGCUGCUGUGGCUGCUGCAAGCCUGUGGUAGUCUGCUGCUGCCGCCGCUGCUGCUGCCGCUCCUGUGGCUGUGGCUCCUGUGGCUGUGGCUGUGGCUGUGGGAAGGGCUGUUGCCAGCAGAAGUGCUGCUGCCAGCAGAAAUGUGGCUGUAAGAAGUGCUGCUGCUAGCAUGGUUCUUGGCUCUGGUUCUAAGCUACAAAACGCUUGAGGGCUUGCUCAUUGCAUUUGGUAAGACUUUUUGGCCACUGUUGACUUUCCGUCCUUCUUACCUACCCAUCCUGUUGGUUUCCCUCCUUCUCAUCUACCCACUGGAAAUGUUCUUUCUGUCUUUUGUGAAUUCUCAGGCUUGUUUCUUCACUUUUUUAAGAAAUCAAUGCUCAUGCAAUUCCUUCUUCCUGUCUUCUGGAACUUAUUACUCAAUAUGUAUAUAUUUGCUGUGAUCUUUCUAAUUUUGACUAGCAUAUAUUCUCAACACCAUGGGUAAAGGCAAAGCUGUUUGUCUCCAAAAAUGUAUUUAUAUUAUGAGCUUAACCAUGAAAAUCCCUAAUAGGUUACUUUGUUGAAAAAAAAAAAAAAGUUAUGGCUAACUUUUUACUCUUUCAUAAUAUGUAUUCACUAACUUCUUUCCUACCUGUACAACUUUGUUUAAAAGAAAAGCAACUCAUUGUCAACAAAUAAAUAAAUAAAAACUAACCUA
rnacentral:lncRNA from 1 species